CACUCCUGCGGGAGGCAGCAGUGGGGAAUUUUGGACAAUGGGCGAAAGCCUGAUCCAGCAAUGCCGCGUGUGUGAAGAAGGCCUUCGGGUUGUAAAGCACUUUUGUCCGGAAAGAAAUCCUUGGCUCUAAUACAGUCGGGGGAUGACGGUACCGGAAGAAUAAGCACCGGCUAACUACGUGCCAGCAGCCGCGGUAAUACGUAGGGUGCGAGCGUUAAUCGGAAUUACUGGGCGUAAAGCGUGCGCAGGCGGUUUGCUAAGACCGAUGUGAAAUCCCCGGGCUCAACCUGGGAACUGCAUUGGUGACUGGCAGGCUAGAGUAUGGCAGAGGGGGGUAGAAUUCCACGUGUAGCAGUGAAAUGCGUAGAGAUGUGGAGGAAUACCGAUGGCGAAGGCAGCCCCCUGGGCCAAUACUGACGCUCAUGCACGAAAGCGUGGGGAGAAAACAGGAUUAGAAACCCGUGUAGUCC
rnacentral:rRNA from 1 species